rnacentral:lncRNA from 1 species
CAGGGGAGUAAAUGGUUGCAUUCAGUAUGUCAUAGAAAGAUUUCACAGUUACCACUGGAUAUAGUCGGCUCCAGCAAGCAUCAGUUUCAGUUCGUACUGAAGCAUACUAAACAAACUAGAGGAAAAGUUUCAACACUUGGCAAUUCCAAUGGUAAAUUUGCAUGCCUUAAAUCUAGUUCCAACUGGCAUCUCAGUAUGUCAUAGAAAGAUUUCACAGUUACCACUGGAUAUAGUCGGCACCAGCAAGCAUCAGUUUCAGUUCGUACUGAAGCAUACUAAACAAACUAAAGGAAAAGUUUAGUUUCAACACUUGGCAAUUCCAAUGGUAAAUUUGCAUGCUUUAAAUAUGGUUCCAACUGGCUCUAUUUCUGAAGUUCCAAAGCAUUCAUGAUUCAAGGCCAGAUCCAUGGCAACAAUAAAUAGAAACAACCAUCAGUCUUAAUAAUACUGUGAAUAGAUAAUAGAUAUUUAACAGAUUAGCAAAGAGGUCUGUCACUGCACCCAGCAGCCCAGAGACAGCAAAAGUUUCACCCAGCCACCAUUGCACAUUGAAAAGCCACAUGCAUGGACAAUUCAUUCACCAAUCCUUUCACAAUUUGUGUCCACAACUGCAGAAAAAAAUCCAACUUCCACUAAUAGAACCACCAUCUCUUGGCCAAUUAAAUUUCAAUGCUCAUGAUAGAUCAAUCCAUAUCUCGAGACAGUUCCUCAGUGCCUUGUUUCCAAACUAUUAGUAGUAUUUGAGCAGAAAACUUUCAAUUUUUUGCAAAGUAUUUGCAAAAAGAAAGCCACAUGCGUGGAAGUAUAGUUAAACUGUGAAUUAUGCGACCAAGAAAGGAAGAAGAACGAGACAAGAGAAGAGUAGAUAACAGAAGAAAUAAAGAAAAGAACAAACAGCGACGGAGUUAGAGCACCAAAAGCAUGGAGGAAAGAACUGGACCAGUAAAUUCUUUCCAAUACCCCAUCCCAGGAGGGGAAACUCAACCUUUCCUUGUAUUUAAAAAGGCCAUCUAUAUUGUUACCAGCUUCACUGAUAAAGGAAAAUUGACUGCUUAUGUACCCAAUGAGAUGAUCUAUUCCUACAGCUCAUGUGUGCAGUGAACAAACAAAAUGAGUUACAAGUUUGAUCAUGGACCAGGCUCUUCUAACUUCCUAAAGGGCAUACCUCACAAAAGACAUGUGUAUCAGGGAAAAUAAUCUUUUCGAUAAAAUAAAAAAGCAUGUCAAUCAUAGUUACAAUCUACUAAAGCAUGAACUAAUAAAUUUCAAGGCCGCAUCUAACACAGGAAAGUUUUGCAUAUAAUUAAGGCACAUUUGAUGUUCAACUUCUUCAGAGACAUGUCAUGCAGUAUUAAAUGCCAGUUGAUGAAUACCUUGCAAAACUCAUAAACAUGGUAUUCAGAAACUGAGUGAUUUGAGGAGUAUCGAUCUGCAACAAACCGAUUGAGAGCUGAUACAAAGUUGCCAAGAACUGCAAGGAAAAUCAGUAGAGAAAGCAACAUCCACAUUAGCAGGAGAACAACAGUAACCUAAAGUACAAACUUAUUGAUUUGUUGACAUGUCUUCAGCAGUGUUCGAGAAAUCUGCUUAAGCCAGUAAAUCCAGGAGAUUAAAACUAAGCAAUUGAACCACCGACAACAAUUAUUAAACUUAACAUGAGAGUCAACCAGUCUAAUCUCCAGUUAGAAUUACGUAGGACGAAUCACAACUAAAAUGAAGACAUCAACAACACCGUUCGACGAAAGCAGAAUGAAAACUAUCCGAAUGCCAACCAUUCCCGCCCUUGGAGUAACCUUUGACAACGAGAAAAAAACACUAACAGUAGCAACUUACAUGUAACAGCGAUAACAAAAAAAAAAUCAAUUUUUUAAACCAAGUUUCAAACUGCAUUGUAUAUCCUACAGCGUCAAGAUUAACAGUUGUAAAUUGAAACACAUGGUACUCUGAGGAAGCUAAUCCAUUACUGUUUUCCUUCUUUAUUUUCUUCUUCAUUUGAAUGGGAAGAGGUUUUUACCCUCGUCAACAUCAACGGCGACUGCAAUUUUCUCCGGCGGCAAAUGCUGAUCCUCAGGAAAUUCAACGGAGCCUCCUCUAUCAUUCCGACACCUUCCGCCGUCAUCACCAUGGCCGUCAAAAGCAUUCUCCAACCUGAACUUAAUAUCCUUAGAAACUAGUUCACGGAACAAAUGCUGCUGCAAGCUUGGCGCAAUUGCCCUAGCCUUAUGCAGCCAAAACCCCCCACCACCACCGCCGCCGCCGCCGUCCCCAGCAUUACUAAACCCGGCAUUUUUAUCAUUUUUCUUAUUAAUAUUCUCAGAUGAGCCGCAUCCUUUAAGCCUCAAACAAAUACUUCUUGCUCCUCCGAACCCCCCGCCGCUACUAUGUAAAUUCAAAUCAAUAGCUGAAGAAGCUGAGGAAAAGGAAGAAUUUUGAAUGGAUAAAAAUGGGAAUAAAUCCUUACGGCCAACGGAAAAGGUGGACGGCGCCGCGGCCAUUAAAUAAAGCCAGCAAUGGUGGUGGCUGUAAAGGCGGUGGUGAUGAUCUCUUCUAUAUAUAGACACAGAUACUAAGCGGAAGAAACAGCUUCGCCUAUGUAUCAUAAUAAUAGGUAUGAAUGGAUUUUUGUUUUUUAAUUUAUUCGAUCUAUUGCUACAUCUAAAAUUUUAGGAAAGUGAGAGGAAGAAUAAAGGCGCGUAGCUUAGCGAAAUCUGAGCAAUUCAAGAAUGGAAUGUUCUCUUGGAAUAGAAUAUUUAUUGGAGGAAAUGACGAAUGUGUAGAAAAGAGGGCAGAUUUCAGCUUCAUUUGUUUUCUAAGAGCCUUUUUCUUGUUCUUGCCCUAGAGACAUUAUUAUUAAUAUUGUUCUGUGGUU